GUCAGAUGAGGCUAUUGUCCCAUACGAGAGAUAAUCAGUCAAGAGAAAAUCUAGUUUUCGUGAUGAGACUAUACUUCAUUUUGAAUAGACUAAUACACAUCUAGGCUAAUUUCAGUUGAUGUAAAUUUCAGACAAUUCUCGAAAAACGUAAUAAUCUGAAGAUCAAAUUUGUUAAACGUCUAAUAGAUAGUCUACAGUAGCCUACAUUUAUCUUGAUUUUGCAUUUAGAAUAGAUUGUUUCACAACAUCUAACGUUAAAUUGAAACAAAGCCUAUAGGCUACUUUUUCAAACUAAGUGGGAGUUCUUAACUGAGGCAGCAUCAGUUCAUUUCUUUAUUUUACCAGACAGUUAGGCCUACACUGGGCUUCUAUCUUUCAAAGGUAUCACCAUGAAAGACAGAGGAAAGCAAGGUAAGGACGCACCGGAGACCAUUUAUCCAGGCGCGCGCAAGGAUUGGUGGCCUCGUGAGUGGGAGCCGAGGUCCCGUUUCCCGCAGGUGGUGCAGCAGGACAGCUUCCCUGCAGCACAUAGUCGUGUGAGGCCCAAACAAAACGAGCCCACAUCCUUCCCGAGGCUUCACACAAACGACCCGGCACCUGACUCCCUGACCUUCACCGCGCCCAGGCUCCUCCCGAGGCUGCACACCACAAACUACCUGACAUCCGCUGUGCCUCCCAGAGAUCUCCCACUCGAACCAUUGCCUCCUGCAGACAUGAGGCCCAAAGAGCCUAGCAGACCCAAGCGCCCGAAAAGGGGGAGGCGCCGCAAACGUGAGGCAGUCCCUGCUGAAGAGCCGUCCCGAAUCGUUCCCCUGGUACCGGUUCCACCACCACAGCCCCCAGCAGUACCUACCGACGUAGGAAGACGCCUACGACGUCUAGCAAGGGACAAUCGUGACACCUAUGCUAUCGGGCAUCAAUCUGGGCACACAAAGAGCACAAAACCCUUCUAGAAUGAUAGAAUGUGUGUCAGUGGGGACUUUGGUUUAGACAGCAGAGGGGUCAAUUUGUCUACUUCCGGCCCCGUUUUCUCAGCAUCAACUGGACACAUACAAACAUGUCACUACUUACAGUGCACCAGCACAAUGAUAUGAAGAAGGACCCACGAAAAUAACAGGAAAAGAGGUGGCACAUUUUGGUUUUCACAUAAGACGCCACAUCACCUACAGUAUGCCAGCUACAGUAUGUGCCCAUACUGCUCAGACAACACUACACCUCCAGGAUAACAACAGAAAUGUGUGUCAGUGGGGACUUGGGUUUGGACAGUUGAGGAAUCCAUCUAUCUACUUCCAGUCCCCAUGUACUCACCACCAACUGGACACACAGCCUAGGUUCCAUGUCUGCUUCCACUCCCAAUUCAUCAACUGGACGCACAUGAGAAUAGUCUCAGUACAAAAAUAAGGAUCUAAAUAAUGAAGAGGACAUCUCUUUCAGACAGGAUUUCAAAUGUUCCUUUUGUAUAGAACAGUAAAAUUAAGUUUUUCACUAAU